rnacentral:miRNA from 1 species
AUGUUUGGCACCUCUUUGAAUGAA